AGAAAAAUCUAAUAAUUGAAAAAUGAAUAGAUUUUAAUACUAAUUUUAGAGGAAUUUACCAAUAAUUCUGUAAACAUCAAGAAUGAUUCAGGGAACGAGUGAAGAAAAGAUAAACAAGAAGCAAAAAGUCGCACUCCAACCAAAUGUGUCGUCAACCUUUUGCAUAAGCAAAAGUUCAAUUACAAGAAUGGCCGCCAUAAUUUCAACAUAGUAAGAAGCGCAAAAUCCCAAGAGAAAACAAUAAUUCUAUUGACCAACCUUAUUAAUAAAAUACUUUUUUAUUAUUAUUUAACACCAUUAAUUUUUUUGGGGAAAACUAUUUACACCCACAUGUCAUAUGUAUUAUAUAUUAUUUAACAACUUUUUAUCUUUUAAACACCUCCCAAAAACCCUUUUUCCUUUUCUUUCUUUCUUUUUUUUCCCCCCUCUAUUGGAUUAAACAAAUUUUUUUUUUUAAACCAGAAAAUAAUCGAAAGCCUUAUUAUUCCUUUUGCAAAUCAAAUAUGGAAUACAGGCUAUGCACAGCCAUCAAUGGAAUUAUGGUAAGAACACAAUUGCAUACCAGACAAACAAAUUUUGAGCGCUCUGCUUAGAUGCGGAAAAAAUAUAUAUAUUGGAUUUGAACAAUAAGAAAGAAUUGAAAUACUGGGGUUCCGCGAGAAAUUAUUUAUUUAAAGAGAGGUGUUAUUAGACAUUUAUAUUUUAUUUUUAAGUACUUAAAUAUGGGUUUUAACUUUUAAGGGGUUCAAUUUUCUCUCUAAAACCUGAUGAAUCAACCACACGCGCCAUCACCGCAGGCCCCUGGGCCCUGGUGACGCAGCAGCAAUUAUAACAGCCUCUCAAAAGUUUCAAACCUAACGAACAUUUGACUGAGCUUUUGACUUUUGUAAUGCAUGUGCAAGACACGUGAUCUGGGCUUUUAAACAACAACAGCCUAAACGACAGUUUCUUUGAUUCUCUCCGGUGUUGUUUUGAUUCACCAACCUGACAGAAAGGCCGUGUGUACAGAUUUUAUCCCUUCAAUUUCCUUAUUGCUGCCUCCGGUUCAAUGAAACCCAAGUUAAGAGUACAUUAGUAAAAAUUUACUAAUGGGCGCAUAAAAAUUUACUUUUUGUUUAAUAAAACGUAACGGGUUAUUUGUACCUUAAAUUAUAAUCUGCAUCUCACAAAUAUUUAAUAGAAUUUGCGGUUACUAAACGUCCACGAUAUUGGAAUUAAUUGUCAAGGACAAUUAUUAUAAGUGAAAACAUGUUGUCAUUCUUCAAAUUCAUCCAAUUCACUCAUUCUUAUAUUAACACGGUAAUAUUUUCUCUUCAACACCAAAUUUGAUGCAAAGUGCUUAUGGGAUACGAUGCAAUUGACAGCAAAACUGUAAACUGUUUUCUGAAAUUAUGUAUGGUGCUUUGGAGCGUCAUUAUCACUGCAUUGUAGCACUCUACUCCCAGAACAUAAAAAAUAAAAAUUGCGUGAGACCAGACCACAACUUCAGUGUCGUAUAGUAGGUCCUACAACGAAUCUAUAAACUUUUUAAAUAUUAAGUUUAGUCAAAUACACCGAUGAUGAUCGCUCUUUGUAACCCACUACUAUGACAUGCGACAAAGUAUCAUUGGAUCACAAGUUUUUACCCCAAACUAAUCCUAAGUUAGAUACUUAGACUACUGUAUAUGAAUUAUAUAACACCAACAAAUGUUAAGUAAUAAUUGACUUUUGUAUUAUUAUUUAUGUAAAAUAAUU
rnacentral:lncRNA from 1 species